rnacentral:rRNA from 1 species
UACGAAGGGGGCUAGCGUUGCUCGGAAUCACUGGGCGUAAAGCGUGUGUAGGCGGUCCGCUAAGUCGGGUGUGAAAGCCCUGGGCUCAACCCAGGAAGUGCACUCGAAACUGGCGGGCUAGAGUAUCGGAGAGGUUGGUGGAAUUCUCGGUGUAGAGGUGAAAUUCGUAGAUAUCGAGAGGAACACCGGUGGCGAAGGCAGGUCACUGGGCCGCAACUGACGCUGAGGAGCGAAAGCAUGGGGAGCGAACAGG